rnacentral:rRNA from 1 species
GAUGAACGCUAGCGACAGGCCUAACACAUGCAAGUCGAGGGGCAGCAUGAAAUUAGCUUGCUAAUUUGAUGGCGACCGGCGCACGGGUGAGUAACACGUAUGCAACCUGCCUGUAAGCGGGGGAUAACCCAGAGAAAUCUGGACUAAUACCGCAUAAUAUCAUAGUUUCGCAUGUUACUAUGAUUAAAGAUUUAUUGCUUACAGAUGGGCAUGCGUCUGAUUAGCUAGUUGGCGGGGUAACGGCCCACCAAGGCUACGAUCAGUAGGGGUUCUGAGAGGAAGGUCCCCCACAUUGGAACUGAGACACGGUCCAAACUCCUACGGGAGGCAGCAGUGAGGAAUAUUGGUCAAUGGUCGAGAGACUGAACCAGCCAUGCCGCGUGAAGGUGACGGCCCUAUGGGGUCUUAAAACUUCUUUUGUAAGGGAGCAAUAAGGUUCACGUGUGGACUGAUGAGAGUACCUUACGAAUAAGCAUCGGCU